rnacentral:rRNA from 1 species
UGGCGAACGGGUGAGUAACACGUGGGUGAUCUGCCCUGCACUUUGGGAUAAGCCUGGGAAACUGGGUCUAAUACCGAAUAUGAUCAUCGGCUUCAUGGUCGGUGGUGGAAAGCUUUUGCGGUGUGGGAUGGGCCCGCGGCCUAUCAGCUUGUUGGUGGGGUAAUGGCCUACCAAGGCGACGACGGGUAGCCGGCCUGAGAGGGUGACCGGCCACACUGGGACUGAGAUACGGCCCAGACUCCUACGGGAGGCAGCAGUGGGGAAUAUUGCACAAUGGGCGCAAGCCUGAUGCAGCGACGCCGCGUGAGGGAUGACGGCCUUCGGGUUGUAAACCUCUUUCAGCACAGACGAAGCGCAAGUGACGGUAUGUGCAGAAGAAGGACCGGCCAACUACGUGCCAGCAGCCGCGGUAAUACGUAGGGUCCGAGCGUUGUCCGGAAUUACUGGGCGUAAAGAGCUCGUAGGUGGUUUGUCGCGUUGUUCGUGAAAACUCACAGCUUAACUGUGGGCGUGCGGGCGAUACGGGCAGACUAGAGUACUGCAGGGGAGACUGGAAUUCCUGGUGUAGCGGUGGAAUGCGCAGAUAUCAGGAGGAACACCGGUGGCGAAGGCGGGUCUCUGGGCAGUAACUGACGCUGAGGAGCGAAAGCGUGGGGAGCGAACAGGAUUAGAUACCCUGGUAGUCCACGCCGUAAACGGUGGGUACUAGGUGUGGGUUUCCUUCCUUGGGAUCCGUGCCGUAGCUAACGCAUUAAGUACCCCGCCUGGGGAGUACGGCCGCAAGGCUAAAACUCAAAGGAAUUGACGGGGGCCCGCACAAGCGGCGGAGCAUGUGGAUUAAUUCGAUGCAACGCGAAGAACCUUACCUGGGUUUGACAUGCACAGGACGCUGGUAGAGAUAUCAGUUCCCUUGUGGCCUGUGUGCAGGUGGUGCAUGGCUGUCGUCAGCUCGUGUCGUGAGAUGUUGGGUUAAGUCCCGCAACGAGCGCAACCCUUGUCCUAUGUUGCCAGCGGGUUAUGCCGGGGACUCGUAGGAGACUGCCGGGGUCAACUCGGAGGAAGGUGGGGAUGACGUCAAGUCAUCAUGCCCCUUAUGUCCAGGGCUUCACACAUGCUACAAUGGCCGGUACAAAGGGCUGCGAUGCCGUGAGGUGGAGCGAAUCCUUUCAAAGCCGGUCUCAGUUCGGAUCGGGGUCUGCAACUCGACCCCGUGAAGUCGGAGUCGCUAGUAAUCGCAGAUCAGCAACGCUGCGGUGAAUACGUUCCCGGGCCUA